CAGGUUGGUGUACUGAUUUUCUCACAGUUCCUUAAUGAGUCUUGGGAAAAAAAGACAUAAUUUUAAUGUGGUCUUGAUUGCUUUAUUCUCAGGCCAGCCUGAGAAUUUUCUCAUGAUGUUAAUUAUUCAUUUUUGUAACAAGCCUGCAUAAAUAAAAGUAUGAGUACCGGCUGUCCAGUAUGGCAUUUCAGGAGCUUGGAGGAAGAGGAUGGAGAAGGUGAGAGCUAGGGGGAAAUUGAGAGGUGGCCAGAAAGAGAGGCUUUGAUCAUUUACAGAGUCAUGAAGUUGCAGACAACUAGCUUUAGGCAUUGCAUGUAAUUUAAUGUUCUUCAAUGUCCUGUAGCCUAAGACCAGCUGGAACACACCUGUAGUCAACAAAGUUAGGCUGAUUAAUGGGAAACUGCACACUGUGGGGAAGUUUGAGGCAUCUCAAAAGCGAGGAUUAAGGAAAGGGCACCCAAUAAAGCUUUGGGGGCUGGAGUUAGUCACAAGAUGGUGUUGACAAGAUUUCAUCAGAUUCUGUAAACUGGAGAGUUUCUAGAAAGGAAACCCACCUGGGUUACGCAUGUUACCAGCUCCCCAUUGGCCCUGUGAGGACGGCUGCCCUUUUCUCUGGGAUCUGUUUUCUAUAAAUGGUUACCUUGAAAGAUUUGACUGGAUUGUGUUUCACCUUUUUUGGCGAGGCUCAAUCAGAGGCAGAACCAUGGGCUUCCUGCUGCAUCACAUCUGGAGGCAGGCACCAAGAUGUUUUCUCUGCAGCACCAUUAGACAUCCCUCCAGGAGCAGAAAUUGGGUGUGACACUGUUCAAUAUUUUCAAGUUUGGCAUCAUCUACCUCUCAGAAGAGACUUGAAGAGGUAGUUUAGCCUGUUGUCUUUUCCUCUUUCUAAGCCGGACUGCACUACUAAAAGCCACAAACUGAACGGAAGAAUGAAUAUAUAAUGCCAGCCGUUGGCAAUUUCUCCAUGGUGGCAUGCUCAGGUGUCCAUCUGUAUUUGUUUAUCCUGUUCUCUCUUCCCAUUUCUUCUGGUAAAAAAAUCCCUUUAUAGUUGAAGAAUCCAUUCUGUGAGAUUUGGAAGGGUCAGAUUUUCCCAUCUCCCUACCCACUGAGAAAGAGAAAACAUGUACGUUAGGAGUUUGGGGGCUAAAAAAGUGGGGGAAAGCCAAUAUGGUUGGGGAAUUCAUUCUCAGGACUUUGCCCAAGCAAGUUACAGAAAUAGACAGCAUCUCAUUUGCUUUCAGGACAUGUGUUAGCACAUAUGAAAUGUUGAUAUGUCUUCAUUUUAAUGUCUCUCUACUACUUCCUAUGUUUAUGUUAGCCUACCCCAAGUGUUUCCAAACUUCUCUGAUCAUCAAAAUCACCAAAGGAGCUUGAAAGUGAAGAUUGACAAAAUGAACCCAAAUAUUUUGGAAUCAUAUCUAGGAAAUGGGCUUUUUUCAGCAGCUGCCCAGGGAGUUCUUCAGAUGAACCAACUUUGGAAUUUAUUGUUCUGCAUACAAUGUGGUGUCCAUCCGUGAAAUCAUUAGUUAAGUGAUUCUAUCUCUGACUGCUGCAGAAAGGCAAACACUUAACUGGCCACAUAUGAUAUUUCACAGUACCACGUGUUUCUGCUGAAAGGUCUGCCACUUUCAGCCCAGACCAAAGAGAGUAGAAGGAACUCCACUCCCCACUCCACAGGGCAGGCUGAACCCAGGACCAACACUGAUGUUACAGAAUAAAGAGGCUUCAAUUAGAGCACAGAGGCAACAUGCUACCAAAAAUAAACCAAUUAAUUAAUUAACAAAUUAAUAAAUAAAACCCACUUCAGGAUAAAAGUAAUCAGUGGCCAGUGUUUUGCAGGCUAUAUUUGAGGGAAGUAAAAUCACUGUAUCACUGAAAAUGUGUAUAAUUAAAGUGAAUAGUGAGUUCACUCACAAGCUGAGAAUGAGGGACCCUGCUUCAAAACAGACAUCUCAAGACAGAUGAACUUGGAGCAAGAAUAGAAUAGGAUGUACCCUAAUGAUCAGCAGAUCUUAGACUAGCCAGAGAGAUGAGGGAACCAGACUAGACCAGAAUGGAGAGCCCUCUUUUGGCCACAUGGGGUGGCCAGCCUCUCAGAUGAUACCCAAUGAUCUUGCCCCCUAUAUCUGCACCCUGGUAUAGCCCCCUUCAAUGUUGUGCCUGGUUGCUUUGUGUGACCCAUAGCAGAUGACCUAAGUAAUGACACGUCACUUCUGAGAUUCGGUUGAAGAAGGGUGCAGCCUCUGUCUGGGGGCACUCUCUCAUUUGUCUGUGUUGUCUCUGUCUCGGAUCACCUGGCUCAGGGGAAGCCAUUCUGUAAACCAUCCUAUGGGGAGGCAGCUUGGGGAGGAACUGAUGUCUUUUAUCAGAAACCAUGAGAGUGAGCUUAGAAGUGGAUCCUGCACGUUCAGUGAAUCCUGCGGCUCCAAGUGACAGCUUGACUGCAACGUCAUCUGAGACCCUAAGCAGGAGUCGCCUUGCUUGGCCAGUCCUGGAUCCCUGAACCCUCGGAAACUGUAAGAUAAUAAAUGAUUAUCAUUUUCACCUGCUGAGUUUUACCGGCAUUUACCACACAGCAAUAGAUAACUAAUACACCACGCCAACUUCACCGUGAGAAAGUCUGUACAUUUAUUAUCAGAAAUGACUCUCUAUCUUCAGAACUUGUAAUUUAUUGAUGCUUUAGUCAAUUAUGUCACUUAAAUUCUGGGAUGUUGGUCGGUAGUUCUCAACCCAUUUUUGUCAUUGUCAGUCUUUUAUUCCGCAAACAUUUGAUCAUCUGCAGUACCAGCUCCUGGUUUAAGCUUUAUGAAUAUAGCAGUGAGCAACAGUGGCAAAGUCCCUACCUCAUACAAGCUUCAUGCAAAGUAAAUGAAUACUUUAAAAGGCAAUUGCAUUUUAUGAUAACAUGCACAGAAAAAAUAAACAGGUGACCUGAAUGAGGGUAACUAGCUAUAGGGCUGGAGUGGGAGGCGACUUCUCUUGAUAGGGUGGGAGGGAAGGUCUCUCUGCAGAGUGGCAUUUGCUGAGAUUGAAGGGUGAAAACAGCAGGCCGUGGGAAGGGGCAAGGAAAGGAAGCCCAGGCAGAAAAAGUCAAGAACAAGGCCCUAAGCUGGCAAAGGGGACCAGAGAGGACCUCCUCCCUUCAAAAGCACAUCCGAACCCGUUGGCUCCACCUAAGAGGCUCUCCA